rnacentral:rRNA from 1 species
GACGAACGCUGGCGGCGUGCUUAACACAUGCAAGUCGAACGACGUGGCGAACGGGUGAGUAACGCGUAAUCAACCUGCCCUUCACAGGGGGAUAACCGUUGGAAACGACCUCUAAUCCCGCAUAUUGAAGGAGGGUUUUCCGUCUGAUUAGCUAGUUGGUGGGGUACCGGCCCACCAAGGCGAUGACCAGUAGCCGGACUUGGAGGAUGAACGGCCACAUUGGGACUGAGUCACGGCCCCGAAUCCUACGGGAGGCAGCAGGGGGGAAUCUUCCGGAAAGGACGAAAGUCUGACGGAGCAACGCCGCGGGAGUGAUGACGGCCUUCGGGUUGUAAAGCUCUGUUAAUCGGGACGCGGUACCGGAAUAGAAAGCCACGGCUAACUACGUGCCAGCAGCCGCGGUAAUUC